CUUCAUUAGGUUUUCUAUCACUUUAAUAUUUCUGCUAUAACUGAUGUGUAUUUGCAUAUAAAAUAAGUCAAUAGAGUUUCAUUUACAAUUUUUAUAUCUUCGUGUUAUGAGGCAGAUCUCAGCCAGCUGGUGACAGAAAAAGUACAUCUUGGUCUCAAAACGUUUGGACUCCCAUCACUGUGCUAUAUAAAUA